CGGGCGAGUAACACGUGGAUAACCUACCUAUAAGACUGGGAUAACUUCGGGAAACCGGAGCUAAUACCGGAUAAUAUAUUGAACCGCAUGGUUCAAUAGUGAAAGACGGUUUUGCUGUCACUUAUAGAUGGAUCCGCGCCGCAUUAGCUAGUUGGUAAGGUAACGGCUUACCAAGGCAACGAUGCGUAGCCGACCUGAGAGGGUGAUCGGCCACACUGGAACUGAGACACGGUCCAG
rnacentral:rRNA from 1 species